ensembl:misc_RNA 7SK 7SK RNA
GGACAUGAGGAAAAUCUGGCUGGGACAUCUGUCACCCCACUGAUCACCAGGGUUGAUUUGGCUGAUCUGGCUGGUUAGGCAGGUGUGCUCUUCCUCCCUCACUGCUCUGUGUAUGUCCUUCCCAAAGCUGGAUGUUUGGUCAAAGAGGAUAACCAUCCCCAGUAAAUGAGGACCACUUCCUCAGUCAAGAGGUUAUGAGUUGCUGCACUGCCCUGCUAGAACUUUCAAAGAAGCUCUCAAGAAAUAGAAUAGUAGAAGUGAUGCUUGAGAGGGAGAAAGACAAGAAAGUAU